CACAAAUGAGCGUGAACCUCAGGGUUACUCAGCCCAGGGCUUCCGUCCUCUCUGCCACACCUCAGCUAUGUGCCCUUGAGCAAGUCACUGAACCUCUCUGGGCUUUGGGCUCUCGUCUGUCCAGUAGCAGGGUGGUUGCGAGGAUGGCUCUGAGUGCUGAGUUCCGUGGAGAGCUGGGCCAUGCACCCUGACCCAGUCACUGCUCCCAGGAGCUACAUGGAGCUGAGGCUGCAGGGCAAAUGCAGAAGCAAAGAAAGUGGCCAAGUCAACUUUCUAGCUGGAUACGGACUCUGAAGGACCUCGCACUGAGCUUGAACCUUGAGAAGGAAAUCUCGUCUCUGCCAUGGCCUCUGGAUCCCUCCACUCCAGAGACAGGAGGCUCACGCUGGCCCAGCCACACUGCCGUGCCUGACCACCCUGUCCAGCCACACUGCCCUGCCUGUCAGGAUGGAGAAAUCGACUCUUCUAAGCAUGGGGAGAAAGCAGAAAGGGAACCUCGGGACGACCCAACACGCAGCCACGUCACGUGAGCCAGUGGAAAAAGCCUCUUACAGCAGGAUUUCUUUGUGCAUGUGGCCCAGCUGCUCAUCGCCUGGCGAUUCAGUUUUCACUGUUUCACCGACCUUUCUAGAAUCAGAUGCAGCAAGGCCACAAGCUCCACUCUAUCUGUUUCUGGCCACUGCUACCAGGCAGUACCGGGCACUGCAGUACCGGGCACUGCAGCCCCGCCCAGCGUCCAGAUUUGGGAAGGUCCCUCUGCUUCCAGAUCUGCACAGUGGGAAUUAUGAGUGCCAUGUCCUGGGGCAGUUGGGAUGCCCAUUGGGUGAAUAGUGUGAAGAGCCAGCAGACCCAGGGGACAGCAAACACUGACUGCUCAGCAGCACCGAGGCAGAUGGGCUGCAAUGGAGCCUGGGGCCCGAGUAACCAUGGAUUUGUGAGUGCCAGUGUUUUCCCAGCUGUAGUUCAACCUUUAAGGAUGAACAAUUAGUGAGUGGAUUAUCUUGUUGACUCACACCCUCAGAUCAGAAGGCCACGCGUGUUUGCAGAAGCUCAGCCAACCUUCUUUCUAGCUGGGCUCCAUGGUCCACAGAAAAAAAACAAAGAAUUAUAUUUUAAAGAUGAGUUUGUCUAAGAGAAAUGCAAGCCUUCUGAUUCACCUGCUUUUUGAAUUAAGGACAGGCAACAUCAAACCUUAUUCAAGAAACAAAAUAAACAUUAAAUCCUGUCUC